rnacentral:rRNA from 1 species
CAGCCGCCGCGGUAAAACGAAGGGUGCAAGCGUUACUCGGAAUUACUGGGCGUAAAGCGUGCGUAGGUGGUGGUUUAAGUCCGUUGUGAAAGCCCUGGGCUCAACCUGGGAAUUGCAGUGGAUACUGGGUCACUAGAGUGUGGUAGAGGAUAGUGGAAUUUCCGGUGUAGCAGUGAAAUGCGUAGAGAUCGGAAGGAACAUCUGUGGCGAAGGCGACUAUCUGGGCCAGCACUGACACUGAGGCACGAAAGCGUGGGGAGUAAACAGGAUUAGAUACCCCUGUAGUCCCUGUCUCUUAUAC